AACGAACGCUGGCGGCAUGCCUAACACAUGCAAGUCGAACGAGACCGCCGGGUUUAGUUGCGCACGUGUGCGUAACGCGGGGUAACUUACCCUUAGGUUCGGAAUAACUCCCCGAAAGGGGUGCUAAUACCGGAUAAUCUCUUCGGACCAAAGAGUUAUCGCCGUGGGGUGGGCCCGCGUUGGAUUAGCUGGUUGGUAGGGUAAAAGCCUACCAAGGCGACGAUCCAUAGCUGGUCUGGGAGGAUGAUCCGCCACACUGGGACUGAGACACGGCCCAGACUGCUACGGGAGGGAGCGGUGGGGAAUAUUGGACAAUGGGGGAAAGCCUGAUCAAGCAAUGCCGGGGAAGUGAUGAAGGCCGUAGGGUUGUAAAGCUCUUUUACCCGGGAUGAUAAUGACAGUACCGGGAGAAUAAGCACCGGCUAACUCCGUG
rnacentral:rRNA from 1 species